GCAGACAUUUUGACUUACCACUGCGGUGCCCUUUGAAAAUGUGCCCGUUUGGAACGGUCGAUUACUUGACCUGUGGUAUUGCUGUUUGUACAAUUCAUCAAAACCAAAUUGUAGCCCUAGUAAUG